CCCCUAAUGGGCUUCCACAUUUACACCAAUCUUUGCUUCGACCGCCACCUGGACUUGCAAUGCCUCCUUCCAUGCAGCAACCCAUGCAAUACCCCAAUUUCAAUACUUCUUUGCCCACUGGUGCCUUAAAUUUAGCCAGUUCAACCUUGCCCCCUUUGAACCUGCCGGCUUCAACCUUGCCCCCAUCAAACCUGCCGGUGUCAACCUUGCCCCCAUCAAACCUGCUCGUGUCAACCUUGCCAGCUUCCUUGCCAGAUGUCCCACUUCCUCUACUUCCUGGCAUCACUAGUUCCCUUAAUUUCACUUCCCAUUUCUCAGUGCCAUCAACUUUGCCUUCAACUGUACCCUUAAUACCCGCUGCUUCUCUGCC
rnacentral:lncRNA from 1 species